UUUGGUAAAAGGUGGAGAUUGUUAAUUUUCAAACCCUGAACCUUCAAAUGUUAAAGGUAUGCUUCCAAAAUUUGGGAGAAAGUGUUUUUCCAAAACACAUUUCUCAUAGUGGAUGUUUUUAACUGGAUUGAGGCAUUUGGCAUCUUCGUGAUCGUUAGAUUAACAUAUCUAUGGUUCUAGCCUUAUAUUCAUCUUUGUGACUGUUUGACCCUUCACUUCAUCUGGUUCAACUGUUGGCUGCUUUUUGAGAGAACUUUUCCUUUUGUGUUAGGGUUUCUCAUUCUUGCUUCAUUCAA
rnacentral:lncRNA from 1 species